rnacentral:tRNA from 1 species
GCCCAGGUGAUGAAACUGGCAGACAUGCUAGCUUUAGGAGCUAGUGCCGCAAGGCGUGGGAGUUCAAAUCUCCCCCUGGGCA